rnacentral:rRNA from 1 species
UUCCAGACUCCUACGGGAGGCAGCAGUGAGGAAUAUUGGUCAAUGGGCUUACGCCUGAACCAGCCAAGUCGCGUGAGGGAAGACUGCCCUAUGGGUUGUAAACCUCUUUUGCCGGGGAGCAAAAAGCGGUACGUGUACCGCAUCGAGAGUACCCGGAGAAAAAGCAUCGGCUAACUCCGUGCCAGCAGCCGCGGUAAUACGGAGGAUGCGAGCGUUAUCCGGAUUUAUUGGGUUUAAAGGGUGCGCAGGCGGAUUUUUAAGUCAGCGGUCAAAUCGUGGGGCUCAACCCCAUCCAGCCGUUGAAACUGGGGAUCUAGAGUGUGCGAGAGGUAUGCGGAAUGCGUGGUGUAGCGGUGAAAUGCAUAGAUAUCACGCAGAACCCCGAUUGCGAAGGCAGCAUACCGGCGCGCAACUGACGCUCAGGCACGAAAGCGUGGGUAUCGAACAGGAUUAGAUACCCCCGUAA